rfam:Clostridiales bacterium 36_14 Ley3_66761_scaffold_21267, whole genome shotgun sequence.
AGGAGCCGUAUGCGGGAAAGCCGCACGUACGGAUCUGUGAGGGGCUAGGAUUGAGAGGUCUUAGUCUACUCGAC